ensembl:lincRNA
UGUUUUUCGCGGCGCUCCCGCCCGCAACGAUGCCGGUUGCUCCAGCUGUGCUCGGCUUCUUGGAGCCUACACCUCAGUGCCCGUCGCUGCGAAACUGGAGGAAGCAGCUUCGAAGAUUAAAAAGCCUGCGUCCCCUUUAAAAUCGGCCAGCUUCCUUUUCCUCCCUCCGCCCCUCGGCACCGGCUCGUACCAAAGCGCGAAGGACUUCGCGGCGCUCCCGCCCGCAACGAUGCCGGUUGCUCCAGCUGUGCUCGGCUUCUUGGAGCCUACACCUCAGUGCCCGUCGCUGCGAAACUGGAGGAAGCAGCUUCGAAGAUUAAAAAGCCUGCGUCCCCUUUAAAAUCGGCCAGCUUCCUUUUCCUCCCUCCGCCCCUCGGCACCGGCUCGUACCAAAGCGCGAAGGACGGAGGGAGGGAGUAAAGAUCCGCGGGCGCCGAGCCGAGGAGGGGCUGAAACAGAAGGAGCAGAGGCGGAGGAGGGCACAAAUGGCUCCACCUUCCUUUUUACGGGGGGUAAAAGUCGCCGGAGACCGAGAAGGCAAUCGGGCUCCGCCCUCCCGCGCCCUCGCCUCCCCCGCACGCCCGGGGCAUUGGUGCAGCCCGCAUUGUCCCUCCCGCCCCGGAGGCUCGGCCGCCCGCGCUCUCUAGAGAGGCUGCGCGGCGGCAGGGGCGGUGUCCUUCUUCUAGGACACCCUAGUGGUGGGAAGAUCAGGGGUCAGGCUCCGCCCUGCGUCAUCCUCCAGACCUCGGGGGCACCGCCCCGGAGAGAGGCGGAGGGGCGCACAGGCGAGAAUACCGCCUCGGUCUCCGGUUCUAGAACCUCUGGUCUCCUAGCAACGGGGCGGCGCCGCCCUGGCUCCCCUCUCUCCCGCCUUCCUCCACAAGGCCACUUCCUGUCCCCCGCCACCCGUCAUAGGAACCCCUAGUCCUCUUCUCCCCUCCUUCCCAGGGGCUCGAGACUACUACCCAUCUGCGGAGGGGCAUGGCAUCCACUCCUAUCAAGAAGGAGGAAAACAGCAGGCCGCCUGAGGCCGCGCUGACCUUGAUUGGAGGCCGGCAGAUCGCUCCUGCAGCUCUGGGACCGGUUCGCCUGUCUCCCUCCCAGAAGGCUUCAGUGUCCCGUUCUGAGGAAUCCCUGACUCAGAUCAGCACCGAGCUCACAGAAGAGGCCAUGUUAAUUGCUUGCUGCCAUGUGUACCCUGAGCCCCUCAAGCAAAAGCAGACAAAAGACCAAGGGACUCAGAUAUCCAAACAUGCGUUCUUCUCCAAGACCCAAGGCACAGACACCCGCUCUGACAGAAACUGGACUCGCACCAAGGCACACCUGCCAUCCCCUCUAGAAAAGACCAUGCCUUCCAACGCCCCGUGUAAGGCAACUUCUUAAGCAGCUCUUUCGUGCUGAGAGGAACUCCUGGUCUUGAGCAGUAUCACCUUGAAGCCAACAGAUCUUGGAACUGUCACCUGACUCCAUUACCAGCCAACAAGGACUCCAUCAGGAAGAGCGGGUCAAUAAAGAGCAGGGAUGCCCCACCCCAGCUGGUACUCUGCUGUGGCUUCUCUGGGACUGCAGUGUGGGAGGACGAAGCUGGGUGUGGGUGCCUGACCGGAAGGGCUUCCACCCAGCAGCUGUAUGUCCCGUUAGGAGAGGUGAGCUCAUGGAUCCAAACCCAUCCUGCCCCGGCGGCAGCAUCUGGGAGGGCUCACCCUGCCUCCAGGAGUAACCCGUGGCUUCCGCUGUU